rnacentral:rRNA from 1 species
UACGAGAGGCCCAAACGUUAUUCGGAUUUACUGGGCUUAAAGAGUUCGUAGGCGGCUUGGAAAGUGGGUGUGAAAGACCCUCGGCUUAACCGAGGAAUUGCGCUCCAAACUACCGAGCUUGAGUAGGCUAGAGGUGAGCAGAACUGAUGGUGGAGCGGUGAAAUGCGUUGAUAUCAUCAGGAAUACCGGAGGCGAAGGCGGCUCACUGGGACCUAACUGACGCUGAGGAACGAAAGCUAGGGGAGCAAACGGG